rnacentral:lncRNA from 1 species
UGAUGGAUUUUGCCAGCUUACCGAUAUCCUUUUGGGGAUAUGUACUCGAAUCAACCUAUUAUCAGUUAAAUAGGGUUCGAAGUUUGUAAUUAAGACUCUAUAUAAGAUAUGGAUAGGGCGUAAGCCAGCACUUUCAUACCUUAGGGUUUGGGGUUGCCUGACCUAUAUCAAAUGGUUAGUUACAGACAAACUCAGACCUAG